UCCCGGCAAGAUGGCUGCCUGCUGCCAGGAAGGGCUGCCAAGCGUAGAGCGAAUGGAUGGGAAUCUUCCCCAUAGCGUGGGAGAACUACGCAGGCGCUCUAAGAUGUUAAGCCACCCUUGCGUUCCUGGGAUAAGCCCGCUUGCUUUUGGUAAUAACCUGCAUUUACUGAGCUCUUAUAACAUCCAUCAAGAUCCACCCUGAAAUUCACAGUGGCCCCCAGCUGCUCUGAGUAGAAGCUGAUCUCAUAGGCCUACUCUCCAACUUCAUCCUUUGUUCUUCCUCAAUCAGGGUUUCAUCUUUUUAAUCAGCUCCAUGAAGGACAUCCUAAAUGCUACAUGAAAACACAACAGAAUAUUUUUCUUCCAGUAUUAAAAAAAUAUGACAUUCACAAGUAUUUUAAGAAACAUCUAUAUAUCAGGUCAGUGAUUUCAAUAAAAAACACCACCUCUAAGUAAUCAUGUUCUUAAUUUCUUAUAGUUACAUUUGGAAAUUGCUUCCUAAACAUGGUAAACACUGUCUACGAGUUUUUAAAAUGUCCCUAGAUGCACAUGAUUUCUGGG